UACGAAGGGGGCUAGCGUUGCUCGGAAUCACUGGGCGUAAAGCGCACGUAGGCGGAUGUGUCAGUCAGGGGUGAAAUCCCGGAGCUCAACUUCGGAACUGCCUCUGAUACAGCACGUCUUGAGUCCGGAAGAGGUGGGUGGAAUUCCUAGUGUAGAGGUGAAAUUCGUAGAUAUUAGGAAGAACACCGGUGGCGAAGGCGGCCCACUGGUCCGGUACUGACGCUGAGGUGCGAAAGCGUGGGGAGCAAACAGG
rnacentral:rRNA from 1 species